AUGCGCACACGCCCGUCGCCCUCGCAGCGCCGCUCGAGAGAGGAAAAAGAUCACCAUGACGGCGAGACACACUUUUUUAAUGUCGUGGGUAAGCCGGGAGGCUUCCUCUUCGGCGAGAGGGCUUCGUCCCGUAGAAGGGCUCCGCCGACCGCUUUCGAUCCGUUGCAAGGGGAUUUUCCUGAGACUAUUGAGGAGUUCUUGCAGCAUGGGAAUAUGAAAUGCAUUGCGUUUAACCGCAGGGGAACUCUCCUUGCAGCUGGAUGUGCAAAUGGUAGCUGUGUUAUCUGGGACUUUGAAACAAGGGGACUUGCAAGAGAAUUUCGUGAUAAAGAUUGUACUGCACCUAUAACCAGUGUCAGCUGGUCUAAAUAUGGUCACCGUUUGCUUGCCUCUGCUACUGAUAAGUCGCUGACGCUUUGGAAUGUGGUAACUGGGGAAAAGAUUGCCCGCAUAACUCUUCAGCAGACUCCAUUGCAUGCCCGUCUUCAUCCUGGUUCAUCCAUCCCAUCUGUAUGCUUAGCAUGUCCUCUCUCUUCUGCACCUAUUCUUGUUGAUUUGAAUACUGGAAGUACCAUAGUCCUUCCAGUUUCUGCAUCUGACAGUGGUAAUGUCCCUUUACCUAAUUCACGUAAAUUUUCGGAUGGUUCUCCUCCUUUUACACCAACUGCUGCAACGUUUGAUAAGAAUGGAGAGCUGAUAUAUGUGGGCAAUUCCAAGGGAGAGAUAUUAAUUGUAGAUUCAAAAGGCAUCCAAGUACUUGGGUUAAUUCCCAUCCCAGGUGGAACAGUUGUUAAGGACAUUGUUUUCAGCAGAGAUGGCCAAUAUCUGCUAACGAACUCUAAUGAUCGUGUCAUUAGAGUCUAUGAGAAUAUUCUGCCCAUUAAUGGUUCUGGGAAGGAGAUUGAAAAAAUAAUCACCAACAACAAUAAUGACUAUGGAAGCAAGUAUGAGAAGCUAAAAGCAAAUGGUGCACGCUGCUUAGUUCUUUCUUGCGAAGUCUCAGAUGCCAUUGCAAAGGUACAGUGGAAGGCACCAUGCUUCAGUGGUGAUGCUGAGUGGAUUGUUGGUGCUUCUGCAAGCAAAGGAGAGCACAGAUUGCACAUAUGGGACCGAGCAGGGCGUCUUAUAAAGAUCCUUGAAGGUCCAAAGGAAGCUCUCAUUGAUCUCGCUUGGCAUCCAUUUGAUCCUACAAUUGCUUCGGUGUCUGUGGCAGGCUUAACAUACAUUUGGGCAAAGGAACAUGUAGAGAAUUGGAGUGCGUUUGCUCCUGAUUUUAUAGAACUAGAAGAAAACGAGGAAUAUGUUGAACGAGAGGACGAGUUCGACAUAAAUGCAUAUGCAGAAAGGGUUGAAGAACUGAUGAUAGAUCAAGAUGCAGAGAUUGAUGUUGAAACAUGUGAGAAGAACUCAUCAUUCAGUGAUUUUGAUGACUCAGCAGACGAGAUCAUCUACUUGCCUGCUAUUCCUUCCCCGGAUGCUCCUGAUGAGCAGCCAGACAAGUGCCUAGUAAGCUCAUCAAAAUUGGAGGACAGCAAUCAUUCUGGUUCCCCCCCAUCCUCAAUGGAUGCUGUGCAGAAUGGUCUAGCCAUUCCUCCCGCAUCUAGUCCAUUGGAAGUUGUUGACAAUUCCAUGGCCGAAGAGCCAUCAGCGGAAGCGGCAAACGCAAAGCGGAAGAGGAGGCUAUCAGCCAAGGGGCUGGAGAUGCAGCAGGCUGAAAAGGUGAAGAAACCACCCAUAAAGAUGUCGUCCAACGGCAAGCUGUCGAAGCCCAAGAGCAAGCCGGUGGUGGAGCCUGUCAACGGCAACAGCUCGGCCAAGAUCAAGCAGCAGGUGGUGGAACCUGUCAAUGGGAACAGCUCGGCUGCCGACAUCGACGACGAAGCGACAGAGGAGGACGAGAUGUAA
rnacentral:rRNA from 1 species